rnacentral:rRNA from 1 species
AUACGGAGGGUGCAAGCGUUAUUCGGAAUCACUGGGCGUAAAGGACGCGUAGGCGGGUUGGCAAGUCUGAUGUGAAAUCCUACAGCUUAACUGUAGAACUGCAUUGGAAACUUCCAACCUAGAGUAUGGGAGGGGGAGAUGGAAUUAGUGGUGUAGGGGUAAAAUCCGUAGAUAUCACUAGGAAUACCCAAAGCGAAGGCGAUCUCCUGGAACAUUACUGACGCUAAGGCGUGAAAGCGUGGGGAGCAAACGGGAUUAGAAACCCCAGUAGUCC